GCCGGGCUGGACAGGUCUGGGAGCAGCCUGGGACAGUGGAAGGUGUCCCUGCCCAUGGCAGGGAGUGGAACAGGAUAAACUUUAAUUCCCUUACAAACCAUUCUGAGAUUCUGAGUGUUGAUGGAGCAGGCUCAUUAACUUCUGCUGCUCAGGAGAUAUUAACAAAACCACAAGUGCACAGCUCAGCUCUGAUAUCCAAUCCUUCCACAUCCCUCCAGGAUCCCAGCUGGUGCAUUUGCUGUACAAGGAUCUCCCCAGGGAGAGGGAUUUGCUGAGCCCUGAGCAGAUGCUGAGAUGAGGAAGAGAAGAGCAGGAAUCAGCAGAAAUGCUGUGAAGACAAGGAUUCAGGAGCUGUGAGACACCCCAAGCAGCACAGAGACCUGCUCUGCUGGGAUACACAUUCCAGGGAAGGAGCUGC